CGAAAUAACUUUAGGGUUAGCCUCGACAACCUCCAUGCAGGGGGUAGAGCACUGGAUCCCUGAGGGGGCCUACCGGCCUACCGACGGGAACCAAACUCCGAAUACCUGUAUGGCAGUCGGGAGAUAGACAGCGGGGGAUAAGCUUCGUUGUCAAGAGGGGAACAGCCCAGAUCGCCGAUUAAGGCCCCUAAUUCUAGUUUAAGUGUGUAAGGAA
rnacentral:rRNA from 1 species